rnacentral:rRNA from 1 species
AUUGAACGCUGGCGGCAGGCCUAACACAUGCAAGUCGAACGGUAACAGGAAGAAGCUUGCUUCUUUGCUGACGAGUGGCGGACGGGUGAGUAAUGUCUGGGAAACUGCCUGAUGGAGGGGGAUAACUACUGGAAACGGUAGCUAAUACCGCAUAACGUCGCAAGACCAAAAAGGGGGACCUUCGGGCCUCUUGCCAUCGGAUGUGCCCAGAUGGGAUUAGCUAGUAGGUGGGGUAACGGCUCACCUAGGCGACGAUCCCUAGCUGGUCUGAGAGGAUGACCAGCCACACUGGAACUGAGACACGGUCCAGACUCCUACGGGAGGCAGCAGUGGGGAAUAUUGCACAAUGGGCGCAAGCCUGAUGCAGCCAUGCCGCGUGUAUGAAGAAGGCCUUCGGGUUGUAAAGUACUUUCAGCGGAGAGGAAGGGAGUAAAGUUAAUACCUUUGCUCAUUGACGUUACCCGCAGAAGAAGCACCGGCUAUCUCCGUG